rnacentral:rRNA from 1 species
GACGAACGCUGGCGGCGUGCUUAACACAUGCAAGUCGAACGGAAAGGCCCUGCUUUUGUGGGGUGCUCGAGUGGCGAACGGGUGAGUAACACGUGAGUAACCUGCCCUUGACUUUGGGAUAACUUCAGGAAACUGGGGCUAAUACCGGAUAGGAGCUCCUGCUGCAUGGUGGGGGUUGGAAAGUUUCGGCGGUUGGGGAUGGACUCGCGGCUUAUCAGCUUGUUGGUGGGGUAGUGGCUUACCAAGGCUUUGACGGGUAGCCGGCCUGAGAGGGUGACCGGCCACAUUGGGACUGAGAUACGGCCCAGACUCCUACGGGAGGCAGCAGUGGGGAAUAUUGCACAAUGGGCGGAAGCCUGAUGCAGCAACGCCGCGUGCGGGAUGACGGCCUUCGGGUUGUAAACCGCUUUCGCCUGUGACGAAGCGUGAGUGACGGUAAUGGGUAAAGAAGCACCGGCUAACUACGUGCCAGCAGCCGCGGUGAUACGUAGGGUGCGAGCGUUGUCCGGAUUUAUUGGGCGUAAAGGGCUCGUAGGUGGUUGAUCGCGUCGGAAGUGUAAUCUUGGGGCUUAACCCUGAGCGUGCUUUCGAUACGGGUUGACUUGAGGAAGGUAGGGGAGAAUGGAAUUCCUGGUGGAGCGGUGGAAUGCGCAGAUAUCAGGAGGAACACCAGUGGCGAAGGCGGUUCUCUGGGCCUUUCCUGACGCUGAGGAGCGAAAGCGUGGGGAGCGAACAGGCUUAGAUACCCUGGUAGUCCACGCUGUAAACGGUGGGUACUAGGUGUGGGGUCCAUUCCACGGGUUCCGUGCCGUAGCUAACGCUUUAAGUACCCCGCCUGGGGAGUACGGCCGCAAGGCUAAAACUCAAAGGAAUUGACGGGGCCCCGCACAAGCGGCGGAGCAUGCGGAUUAAUUCGAUGCAACGCGUAGAACCUUACCUGGGUUUGACAUGGAUCGGGAGUGCUCAGAGAUGGGUGUGCCUCUUUUGGGGUCGGUUCACAGGUGGUGCAUGGCUGUCCUCAGCUCGUGUCGUGAGAUGUUGGGUUAAGUCCCGCAACGAGCGCAACCCUUGUUCACUGUUGCCAGCACGUUAUGGUGGGGACUCAGUGGAGACCGCCGGGGUCAACUCGGAGGAAGGUGGGGAUGACGUCAAGUCAUCAUGCCCCUUAUGUCCAGGGCUUCACGCAUGCUACAAUGGCUGGUACAGAGAGUGGCGAGCCUGUGAGGGUGAGCGAAUCUCGGAAAGCCGGUCUCAGUUCGGAUUGGGGUCUGCAACUCGACCUCAUGAAGUCGGAGUCGCUAGUAAUCGCAGAUCAGCAACGCUGCGGUGAAUACGUUCCCGGGGCU